rnacentral:rRNA from 1 species
UACGAAGGGGGCUAGCGUUGCUCGGAAUCACUGGGCGUAAAGGGCUCGUAGGCGGCCAACUAAGUCAGACGUGAAAUCCCUCGGCUUAACCGGGGAACUGCGUCUGAUACUGGUUGGCUUGAGUGUGGGAGAGGGAUGCGGAAUUCCAGGUGUAGCGGUGAAAUGCGUAGAUAUCUGGAGGAACACCGGUGGCGAAGGCGGCAUCCUGGACCUUACUGACGCUGAGGAGCGAAAGCCAGGGGAGCAAACGGG